rnacentral:rRNA from 1 species
GACGAACGCUGGCGGCGUGCCUAAUACAUGCAAGUCGAACGAACUCUGGUAUUGAUUGGUGCUUGCAUCAUGAUUUACAUUUGAGUGAGUGGCGAACUGGUGAGUAACACGUGGGAAACCUGCCCAGAAGCGGGGGAUAACACCUGGAAACAGAUGCUAAUACCGCAUAACAACUUGGACCGCAUGGUCCGAGUUUGAAAGAUGGCUUCGGCUAUCACUUUUGGAUGGUCCCGCGGCGUAUUAGCUAGAUGGUGAGGUAACGGCUCACCAUGGCAAUGAUACGUAGCCGACCUGAGAGGGUAAUCGGCCACAUUGGGACUGAGACACGGCCCAAACUCCUACGGGAGGCAGCAGUAGGGAAUCUUCCACAAUGGACGAAAGUCUGAUGGAGCAACGCCGCGUGAGUGAAGAAGGGUUUCGGCUCGUAAAACUCUGUUGUUAAAGAAGAACAUAUCUGAGAGUAACUGUUCAGGUAUUGACGGUAUUUAACCAGAAAGCCACGGCUAACUACGUGCCAGCAGCCGCGGUAAUACGUAGGUGGCAAGCGUUGUCCGGAUUUAUUGGGCGUAAAGCGAGCGCAGGCGGUUUUUUAAGUCUGAUGUGAAAGCCUUCGGCUCAACCGAAGAAGUGCAUCGGAAACUGGGAAACUUGAGUGCAGAAGAGGACAGUGGAACUCCAUGUGUAGCGGUGAAAUGCGUAGAUAUAUGGAAGAACACCAGUGGCGAAGGCGGCUGUCUGGUCUGUAACUGACGCUGAGGCUCGAAAGUAUGGGUAGCAAACAGGAUUAGAUACCCUGGUAGUCCAUACCGUAAACGAUGAAUGCUAAGUGUUGGAGGGUUUCCGCCCUUCAGUGCUGCAGCUAACGCAUUAAGCAUUCCGCCUGGGGAGUACGGCCGCAAGGCUGAAACUCAAAGGAAUUGACGGGGGCCCGCACAAGCGGUGGAGCAUGUGGUUUAAUUCGAAGCUACGCGAAGAACCUUACCAGGUCUUGACAUACUAUGAAAAUCUAAGAGAUUAGACGUUCCCUUCGGGGACAUGGAUACAGGUGGUGCAUGGUUGUCGUCAGCUCGUGUCGUGAGAUGUUGGGUUAAGUCCCGCAACGAGCGCAACCCUUAUUAUCAGUUGCCAGCAUUAAGUUGGGCACUCUGGUGAGACUGCCGGUGACAAACCGGAGGAAGGUGGGGAUGACGUCAAAUCAUCAUGCCCCUUGUGACCUGGGCUACACACGUGCUACAAUGGAUGGUACAACGAGUUGCGAACUCGCGAGAGUAAGCUAAUCUCUUAAAGCCAUUCUCAGUUCGGAUUGUAGGCUGCAACUCGCCUACAUGAAGUCGGAAUCGCUAGUAAUCGCGGAUCAGCAUGCCGCGGUGAAUACGUUCCCGGGCCUUGUACACACCGCCCGUCACACCAUGAGAGUUUGUAACACCCAAAGUCGGUGGGGUAACCUUUUAGGAACCAGCCGCCUAAGGUGGGACAGAUGAUUAGGGUGAAG